rnacentral:rRNA from 1 species
UACGGAAGGGGCAAGCGUUGUUCGGAAUCAUUGGGCGUAAAGAGCGUGUAGGCGGUCCGGUAAGUCCGCUGUGAAAGUCGGGGGCUCAACCCUCGAAUGCCGGUGGAUACUGUCGGGCUAGAGUGCGGAAGAGGCGAGUGGAAUUCCUGGUGUAGCGGUGAAAUGCGCAGAUAUCAGGAGGAACACCUAUUGCGAAGGCAGCUCGCUGGGACGUAACUGACGCUGAGACGCGAAAGCGUGGGGAGCAAACAGG